AAAUGGGGGAGCUGGAACUAUCCGGCUGAGAGUAGGUUGUCAACCUUGACCCUUUGAACCUGUCUGGACAAUACCAGCGUAGGGAGAA
rnacentral:ncRNA from 1 species